AGAGUUUGAUCCUGGCUCAGGACGAACGCUGGCGGCGUGCCUAAUACAUGCAAGUCGAACGAAGCUUUCUUUCACCGAAUGCUUGCAUUCACCGAAAGAAGCUUAGUGGCGAACGGGUGAGUAACACGUAGGCAACCUGCCCAAAAGAGGGGGAUAACACUUGGAAACAGGUGCUAAUACCGCAUAACCAUGAACACCGCAUGAUGUUCAUGUAAAAGACGGCUUUUGCUGUCACUUUUGGAUGGGCCUGCGGCGUAUUAACUUGUUGGUGGGGUAACGGCCUACCAAGGUGAUGAUACGUAGCCGAACUGAGAGGUUGAUCGGCCACAUUGGGACUGAGACACGGCCCAAACUCCUACGGGAGGCAGCAGUAGGGAAUCUUCCACAAUGGACGAAAGUCUGAUGGAGCAACGCCGCGUGAAUGAAGAAGGCCUUCGGGUCGUAAAAUUCUGUUGUCAGAGAAGAACGUGCGUGAGAGUAACUGUUCACGUAUUGACGGUAUCUGACCAGAAAGCCACGGCUAACUACGUGCCAGCAGCCGCGGUAAUACGUAGGUGGCGAGCGUUGUCCGGAUUUAUUGGGCGUAAAGGGAACGCAGGCGGUCUUUUAAGUCUGAUGUGAAAGCCUUCGGCUUAACCGAAGUAGUGCAUUGGAAACUGGAAGACUUGAGUGCAGAAGAGGAGAGUGGAACUCCAUGUGUAGCGGUGAAAUGCGUAGAUAUAUGGAAGAACACCAGUGGCGAAAGCGGCUCUCUGGUCUGUAACUGACGCUGAGGUUCGAAAGCGUGGGUAGCAAACAGGAUUAGAUACCCUGGUAGUCCACGCCGUAAACGAUGAGUGCUAAGUGUUGGAGGGUUUCCGCCCUUCAGUGCUGCAGCUAACGCAUUAAGCACUCCGCCUGGGGAGUACGGUCGCAAGACUGAAA
rnacentral:rRNA from 1 species